UACGUAGGGCGUAAGCGUUGUCCGGAAUUAUUGGGCGUAAAGAGCUCGUAGGCGGCUUGUCACGUCGGGUGUGAAAGCCCGGGGCUUAACCUCGAGAUGUCAUCGGAAACCAUCUGGCUAGAGUCCGGAAGAGGAGAGUGGAAUUCCUGGUGUAGCGGUGAAAUGCGCAGAUAUCAGGAAGAACACCAAUGGCGAAAGCAGCUCUCUGGGACGGUACUGACGCUGAGACGCGAAAGCGUGGGGAGCGAACAGG
rnacentral:rRNA from 1 species